CCAGACUCCUACGGGAGGCAGCAGUCGGGAAUAUUGCACAAUGGAGGAAACUCUGAUGCAGUGACGCCGCGUGCAGGAAGAAGGUUUUAGGAUUGUAAACUGCUUUAGACAGGGAAGAAAAAGGACAGUACCUGUAGAAUAAGCUCCGGCUAACUACGUGCCAGCAGCCGCGGUAAUACGUAGGUGGCAAGCGUUAUCCGGAAUUAUUGGGCGUAAAGAGCGCGCAGGUGGUUAAUUAAGUCUGAUGUGAAAGCCCACGGCUUAACCGUGGAGGGUCAUUGGAAACUGGUUGACUUGAGUGCAGAAGAGGGAAGUGGAAUUCCAUGUGUAGCGGUGAAAUGCGUAGAGAUAUGGAGGAACCCCAGUGGCGAAGGCGGCUUCCUGGUCUGCAACUGACACUGAGGCGCGAACGCGUGGGGAGCAAACAGGAUUAGAUACCCGCGUAA
rnacentral:rRNA from 1 species